CCCAGUGUAAUAAUUUACGAAGUGUUUUUUUUUUAUAUAUAUAUAUACAUAUGUGCAUUUCAUAAAUGUAUAUGGUUUUGGAUAAGUUUCAUGUUAAUUAAGUUGAUAUUAUUUUUAUUUUUGUAUUUUUAUAUUUCUUCUGUUUAUCCAAUCAUAUUCACUUGUCCACGUUGGGUGUCCAAUCUAUGCUCUAGAUUAAGGUGAAGGGGGCGGGAAUAAUUGAGGGCAAAGUUGAACGAGGAAGAAUUGGGAGAGCACGAGGGAGAAGAGCGUGCGAUCAUCUGGUGUUAUAUUGUUUCACAAAAUAUAUAGUGUAACUAAUGCUAUAAUGUGUUACAAUAGUUGAUGUAGUUAAGGUGUUGUCGGAAUGAGAACAGAAACUGAUACUACAGAGACGGGUAAGAAUUAUUUAUCCUCAAAAUAUUUCUGGUUGUGUUAAUUCCAGCCUCCAUUUACUAAUGCAGCGAAUGGACUAAUUAUAGAGACUGAACAGUGUCUAUCUUGCUCGGAUGGAUUGUGUGUUUAGUUGGCGAGUCGUCAGCAUGAGGAUUCGUGGCAGUUUCAGAUGAGGAUGAUUACAGAUGACUUGUGAGCUAACGUGAGUGCUCGGAAUUCCUUUGGCCUUAAGGAAAUCGCCGCGAUAGUGGAGUUGACGGACAUCUAACCUCGUGAGGUGAAACACGCUCUUCUGAUUGGAUGGUUCAAGGUAUUUUUAUUUUUUUUGUUUGUUGCUCAGUGUUGAGUGAAGCGGUCGUUUGUUUAUUUGUUGACCACAACGUACCCCAGCAUCAAACAGGCCUGCAACGUGAAAAUAACGAACUUUCAUAUUGAUUGAGGUUAAGUGUGAGCUCAUAUUGCCGGCUUAGUAUUUGUUUGAAGAGUUUAUUAAGUUUGAGUAAGAGUUUGAUGACUCAAAUUUGAAGUAUAACAACAGAGGGGAACAAAUAUCCAUUUACAAAAAGAGUAAAUGUGAAAUGUGUACUUGAUUUUAUUGUUUUAUUCAUUUGUGUGAAUUUGUGAAAUUCAUAUUGCUUAUUUAAAUAAUUUUAUUUUACAUUUGGAAAAAAUCCUGAAACGUGAUCAUUUUACCUUUUAUCCAGUAAAUUGUUAUUUACAGUCUACUUGAGUGUUUUCCGUUUAUUAUUAUUUGAGUUAAAAAGAAAAUAUAAAUAUACAUUGAUAUUUCUUUGAUUGUUAAAACAAUUGAUUUAUUUACAGAAGUUAAAUUCUUAUUCAUUAUUAUUUGAAUUUAUUUUAAAGAUUAAGGGACCCAAGGAACUAAGUAACAAACACAGUUACAUAGAACAAGUUGAAGUGAGUAAAUAAGAACACUUAGCUCACAAUAUUUGAUAAACCAAAGUUUAUUCAUACGAACUCAGAGCGCACCAUUAUCUAUCUAUAUAGGAAAGGGAAAAAAGCGCUACAUAAAUUGGAGGCACCGCUGGGAUCCUUGCGUGUCCCAUUACAGUUGUGUUGUAAAAGAAGAAACAAAAGUCUCCGUCUUCAUCUAAUUAGCACAGUGUGACCAUGACUGCUUACUCUAUAUAUCCUGGUCUGGUGGAUGAGCUUAAAGGAUGGUGUCGAGGAGAAAUGCUUAAUGAGGCACAUGCGCUGAUGGUCAUUGUCCCUGAAGAUGUAGAAAUUUCUCAAAUAGAAGACACCCUCCAAUCUGUUAAAUGUCUGGGACGAGUGCGUGUGAGAGGACGCAUGUACAACAGUAAACUGGAUAGUUUGACUGUUUUAUGUGAAUGCAAAGAAGUUGUAGACUUUUCUAAAGUCCCUCCUGACAUACUACCCACAGGCGGAUUUGUAGCCUGGCCGAUUGUCAUGGUGACACAAAGUCCAGUAUCCCCAAGUGCUCCCUCUAGGGCAGAGCAUUCAUCUACCGCUGUGGAUGAUGGCAACAUUCAGGAAUUGUUGGGUGCACAUGAUGGCUCGGCUGAGUCCAUUAUUCGUGCCGUGGGGGAUCUGCUGUCUAAAAUAGAAAAACCAGUUAGUGAUAGCAGCAGUUAUCGCCGCCUCCGUGUUUUUUCUGGGACUGUGCCAACUCCUGCCGGAGAAGAGCCUUUAGAACAUUGGCUAGAACAAGCUCGUCUUAUGGUUGAGGAAAGCGAUUGCUCAGACAAAGAAAAAAGACGUCGGAUUAUGGAGAGUUUACGAGGGCCAGCCUUGUCAAUAAUAAAAGCUGCUCGUGUAACUACUGCUGAUCUCAAGCCAGAACAAUGUUUAGAGGCCAUUGAAAGUGCCUUUGGUUCUGCUGAAUCAGGGGAAGAGCUGUAUAUUGCUUUUCGGUUGAUGCAGCAACAGCCAAGGGAAAAACUGUCCGAUUUUUUAAAAAGAUUAGAACAAGCAUUGACCAAAGUCAUACAGCGAGGUGGUCUGUCGGUUGCAGCUGCAAACCGUGUAAGAGUGGAACAGUUACUUCGUGGAGCAGUGGCUGCUGAUCUUAUGUUAGUUAAUCUUAAACUGAGGGAAAGGAAGGAAAAUCCUCCAUCCUUUUUGGAGUUGUUGAGUGAGAUUCGCAGUGAGGAAGAAUAUGAGGCAUCAAGGGCUAAGCUAAACUCCACUGUGCAUAAGAUCCAGGCUAAAGCAGAGGUAGACAAUAAGCAGACAGAAAUCCAGACUUUAAAAACUGAGUUAAAGGAACUGAAAGCCAUGUUUGCUUCUAUGGCAGCCACCCAGCAUGGAACUGUGAAAGAAGAGACAUCUGCUGGUUCAAGUAUGAAAACUACAACCUUUGAAAGUUGUCCAGACCCUGAAGUGACUGCGCUGAAAAAACAGGUCAAAAGAUUGCAGCAGAAAGUUCAAAGUAAAAAGCCUAUUGCCUCUGUGGCCUCCUUGCCUGUGGAGACUUCUAGAAAUUUCCCUGGUACAUAUAAGCCAACAACGUACAGUGAUUCGGAGGAAUAUUACUGCUACCGCUGUGGAGAAAGUGGACACUUCGCCGCAAAAUGCAGAAAUGCUGAAAACCAAGCAAAAGUUGUUCGAAGAUUAAUCCAGUCACUGAAAAAAGCCAAAAGUAGAGACUUGCUUUCAUCUGAGCCAACAUCCAGUACAACCAACUGUUCAGUAAAAAGGAGUGCUGUAGACAUACAAAAGCAAAGGCACCUUCCAGAAGGCUUGGUUGGUCCAAUGUCUGUUGUUCAGCUAAAGGUGAACGGACAUGAAUGUGAUUCCUUAUUAGACAGUGGUUCACAAGUAACCAUCAUCUUCGAAGCGUGGUACAAGCAGCAUCUGUCUGAUGUUCCAAUUCACCCAGUCACAGGUUUGGCAAUUUGGGGUUUAAGUGAGUCCAGCUACCCUUACUUGGGUUAUGUGAUGGUAGAUGUUGAGUUCCCUGCCAAAAUCACAGGAACUCAUGAAACCCUUUCAGUCUUGGCCUUAAUCUGCCCGGGACCAUGUAGUCCAGAUCAAACACCAGUUAUUUUGGGUACCAACGCUAACCUUUUCAAGCGUUUGGCUCGUUUGUGUAGAGAAAGUGCUGGAGUGGACAUUGCACAGACAUUGGGCAUAAAUGUGGAUUCAGUUUCCGAAGAAUUGUCAUGUGACCCUGCUAGGAUCUCUGGUGAAGACGAAGGAGUGGGCAGUGUAAGGUGGCUUGGUCCCGGCCCUUUGUCCUUGUCCCCUGGAGGGGAUUGUGUGGCAAUCUGUAAUGUAGAGUUAAAUGAACCAUUAGGAGAAGAGGUUCUGUUGGUAGAGGCUUCUCCAGAUGCCACUCUGCCAGUUGGAGUGUUACUGCAGCCCAUGGUAGUGCCACAUUCUGAAAUGGAUGUUCACCAUUUUCCAGUACUGAUGCACAAUGAAUCCCUGAAGGACACAGUGAUUCCAGUAGGAACAGUGGUUGGUCACUUGUAUUCUGCAGAACCAGUAAUAUCCACCCCAAAGACAGGAGAGUUUGAUACAAACCUCAUUAACUUUGGAGAUUCCCCAAUUCCUGAGACAUGGAAGCAGAGGUUAAGGCAGGCAUUGUCGGAAAGAGCUUCUGUGUUUUCACUACACGAGUGGGACGUGGGUUUGGCGAAAGGAGUGGAACACCAUAUUCGGCUAUCCGAUUCUAGGCCUUUUCGUGAGCGCUCUAGGCGUUUGGCUCCUGCGGAUAUUGAUGAUGUUCGGAAACACAUUCAAGAGCUUAUGAAAUCUGGCAUCAUCAAGGAAUCACGAAGUCCCUACGCCUCCCCUAUUGUUAUCGCCCGAAAGAAAAAUGGAAGUGUAAGAAUGUGCAUCGACUAUCGCACACUUAAUGCUCGUACAGUGCCUGACCAGUAUACUACUCCUCGCAUUGACGAUGCAUUAGACUGUUUAUCAGGGAGUAGAUGGUUUUCCGUCCUUGACCUCAGAAGUGGUUAUUACCAAAUAGCCAUGUCUGAAGAGGAUAAGGAAAAAACUGCUUUUAUAUGCCCCUUAGGAUUCUAUCAAUUCGAGCGUAUGCCACAGGGCAUUACUGGUGCACCCGCGACUUUCCAACGCUUGAUGGAAAAAGCUGUGGGGGAUAUGAAUCUGAUUCAAGUCCUUGUAUACCUGGAUGACCUGAUUGUCUUUGGGAAGUCAUUGGAAGAGCAUGAAGAAAGACUUCUGAAGGUCUUGGACAGACUAGCACAAGUGGGACUAAAAGUGUCAUUGGACAAAUGCCAAUUCUGCCAGACCAAGGUCAAAUAUGUUGGACAUAUAGUCUCUGCCGAAGGCGUUGCAACAGACCCUGAUAAGGUCAAGGCAGUCAGCACAUGGCCGCAACCAACAGACCUUAAGUCCUUGAGAUCUUUUCUUGGCUUCUGCGGAUAUUACCGUAGGUUCAUAGCCAACUACGCUGCGAUUGUCCGACCUCUUACUGAGCUUACGAAAGGUUAUGCCCCUACCCAGCGAGGUAAAAAGUGGGAAAAAGAUCGAUCUAAGGUUUACUUGAAAGAGUCGGAGCCUUUCGGAGACAGAUGGAACCAGUCAUGCUCUGAUGCCUUUGAGCAGAUAAUUCAGUGUCUUACUAAUGCUCCAGUCCUAGCUUUUGCAGACCCCUGCAAACCCUACAUUUUGCAUGUAGAUGCCAGUCUAAAAGGGCUAGGUGCUGUAUUAUAUCAGGAGCAUUCAUCUGGUCUGCAGCCUGUGGCAUUUGCUAGUAGAAAACUGAGUAAUUCAGAGCAGAAAUAUCCUAUACACCAGUUGGAAUUUCUUGCUUUGAAAUGGGCGGUCGUGGAUAAAUUCCACGAUUACCUAUAUGGAGCUAGAUUCACAGUACGUACGGAUAAUAAUCCACUUACGUACGUUCUUACGACAGCUAAACUCAGUGCCACUGGACAUCGUUGGCUGGCUGCACUAUCCACCUACGACUUUGAUGUGUUGUACAGACCAGGCAAGAACAAUACUGAUGCAGAUUUACUGUCCCGUAAUAUGGCAGAUGAGGAAAUAAGAGAGGGUUGGCAAAGCAUCUCUGAGACCGAUGUAAGGGCCAUAUGCCAGGAAGUUCAUGUUGACUUAAAGCUCAGCAAAUCACCUAGGUAUGUAGAGCAACUAGCAGCCUCACCUGAGUGUAUUCCUGAUGUGUAUGCUUUCCCUGUUCAACUGGAAUGUGACUUCUUGGAGCAGAAAUCCAUAGCUGAUUUGACAAGAGCCCAGAAGAAUGAUGUUGUCCUGAGGAAAGUAAUUGAAGCUUUAAAGCAAGGGACGUGGCCUACUGAGGUAAAGGUGAAUUCUGAGUUGUGGCUUAUGAAACGUGAGAAGAAUAGGCUUCUAAUUAAAGAAGGUUUGCUUUUCCGCUGCAGUCAAACACCCUCUGGAGAAGAAGUUUCCCAACUUGUCCUACCUACUGAAUUCAGGGAGGAUGUGUGCAGGUUGUUGCAUGAUGACAUGGGUCAUCUGGGUGUAGAAAGAACCACAGAUCUCAUCAGGAGUAGAUUCUACUGGCCCAAAAUGGCCUGCGAGGUGGAACAAUACAUAAAGAAUUGUGGGGAGUGUAUUACUCGCAAGACACCAUGUAGUAAAGCAGCUCCUUUGCACCAAAUUACCAGCAAUGGACCGAUGGAUCUGGUCUGCAUUGAUUUCCUCUCACUUGAGCCCGACUCAAAAGGAAUAAGUAACAUCUUGGUAGUCACAGAUCAUUUUACACGGUACGCCCAGGCGUUUCCCUCAAGGAAUCAGACAGCUCGCACUGUAGCCAAGAUCUUAGUGGACAAGUAUUUUGUGCAUUAUGGCUUACCUGGGAGGAUCCAUUCCGACCAAGGGCGAGACUUUGAGAGUAAUUUAAUCAAAGAGCUCUUGCUUCUGUUGGGGAUUCGAAAAUCACGUACCACUCCGUACCACCCUCAAGGUGAUGCUCAGCCUGAGAGGUUUAAUCGUACCUUGCUCUCGAUGUUGGGAACCUUGGGACAUGAGAAAAAACGUCAGUGGAGUCAGCAUGUGGGGUAUCUGGUUCAUGCCUAUAAUAGCACGAAAUGUGAUGCUACAGGGUACUCUCCCUACUAUUUAAUGUUUGGAAGGGAAGCAAGACUCCCUGUUGAUCUUUGUUUCCAAACAUCUGCUGAAGGAACAGAGGAAAGACAACAUUUUCAGUAUGUCGCCAAGCUGAAAAAAGAUUUAAAAGAAGCUUAUCAACUAGCCUCAGAAGCUUCAAACAAAGUGCAUCAACGAAACAAAAGAGCCUAUGACAGCAGCAUUAAAUUCCAGGUCUUGGAUGUUGGUGAUAGAGUGUUGUUGAAGAAUCUGGGACUGAGAGGAAAACACAAGCUUCAGAGUCGAUGGAGUUCUUUGCCAUAUCUGGUAGUUGACAAAAUGCCUAACUUACCAGUGUAUAAGGUGAAACCUGAACGUGGUGGAGGAGUCAAAACUAUACAUCGAGAUCACCUCUUACCGAUUGGACAGUCUGUGAGAAUGCUGGAGAGUCCAGGUUAUGCAUUACCUGAAAAGACAAGAAAACAUUCAAACUCAAACCAAACACACAAAAAAGUGCAAAAAGAAACCCAAAAUCACUUAUUUGAGAUGACAGAAUCCUCAGAGUCAGAAUGUGAAAGGGUUAAUGUGCCUUACCAGAAAUAUGUGCACAAGUUGCUGAAAAAUAAGAGGACCAGGGACAGAUCUCCUGAUAGCGAUGGAAAUGAGCAAGAAGCUGAUGAUACUGGUCAUGAGGAAAGUGAUCAGGCUGAGGAAGAGUGGACUGAAAAUGAUAAUGUUGCUGAAUCUGAGUCAGACUCAGAAGUUGAAUCAGACACUGUGACUGUUUCUGAAAGGAAGUGUACAAAACCAAAAGCGGUUAUGCCUCCUAGUCAGAGAGCCCAUAGUAAGAGACCUGUGAAGCCUGUUAUAAGACUCACUUAUGACGAACCAGGAAGAAGUAGUGACCACCCAAUUGAAAUUGUCCAUAGAGGGGUCAUUAUAAGACUAGGUCAGAGUUAAAAUAACUAAAUGAACAACCAGGUAUAGACUGUAAAAUUUUGAUUUAAAUGUCUGAUGAGGACAUUCAGACAAUUGGAAAGGGGAGGGUGUAACCCAGUGUAAUAAUUUACGAAGUGUUUUUUUUUUUUAUAUAUAUAUACAUAUGUGCAUUUCAUAAAUGUAUAUGGUUUUGGAUAAGUUUCAUGUUAAUUAAGUUGAUAUUAUUUUUAUUUUUGUAUUUUUAUAUUUCUUCUGUUUAUCCAAUCAUAUUCACUUGUCCACGUUGGGUGUCCAAUCUAUGCUCUAGAUUAAGGUGAAGGGGGCGGGAAUAAUUGAGGGCAAAGUUGAACGAGGAAGAAUUGGGAGAGCACGAGGGAGAAGAGCGUGCGAUCAUCUGGUGUUAUAUUGUUUCACAAAAUAUAUAGUGUAACUAAUGCUAUAAUGUGUUACAAUAGUUGAUGUAGUUAAGGUGUUGUCGGAAUGAGAACAGAAACUGAUACUACAGAGACGGUUGGCGAGUCGUCAGCAUGAGGAUUCGUGGCAGUUUCAGAUGAGGAUGAUUACAGAUGACUUGUGAGCUAACGUGAGUGCUCGGAAUUCCUUUGGCCUUAAGGAAAUCGCCGCGAUAGUGGAGUUGACGGACAUCUAACCUCGUGAGGUGAAACACGCUCUUCUGAUUGGAUGGUUCAAGGUAUUUUUAUUUUUUUUGUUUGUUGCUCAGUGUUGAGUGAAGCGGUCGUUUGUUUAUUUGUUGACCACAACGUACCCCAGCAUCAAACAGGCCUGCAACGUGAAAAUAACGAACUUUCAUAUUGAUUGAGGUUAAGUGUGAGCUCAUAUUGCCGGCUUAGUAUUUGUUUGAAGAGUUUAUUAAGUUUGAGUAAGAGUUUGAUGACUCAAAUUUGAAGUAUAACAACAGAGGGGAACAAAUAUCCAUUUACAAAAAGAGUAAAUGUGAAAUGUGUACUUGAUUUUAUUGUUUUAUUCAUUUGUGUGAAUUUGUGAAAUUCAUAUUGCUUAUUUAAAUAAUUUUAUUUUACAUUUGGAAAAAAUCCUGAAACGUGAUCAUUUUACCUUUUAUCCAGUAAAUUGUUAUUUACAGUCUA